rnacentral:piRNA from 1 species
CCAUAAAGACUUUGGGCCUGAGAGA